rnacentral:lncRNA from 1 species
GUGCGACUGUCUCGUGGGAGAAGGCUGCAGCCAAUAACACAACAGAUGAGGAAUCUGGCCAAUGUGAAAGGUGACAUCAUGGUAGCUGUUGGCUAGCAGCAGGAGCAAGCUACAAAUGGGAAGGGGUUACCAGACAAGCUUCCUUCUCGGAAUUUCCUGGACUCGGUCCUCGUUCCCUGCUCCCAGGACUUGAACUCACACCUACCAUGUUGGAAGUGCCCUGAGACUAUUGAUAAAACAGCCUGCAGUCCCUGGAGAUGUCACUCACCAUAGGACACUUAACCUGAAUGCACGAGGCCCUAGAGUCUGUCCCCAGUGCAAUAAAUUAAACAUAGCGUAUUAAAACAGGCAGUAAAUUGA